GGGCCCGCACAAGCGGUGGAGCAUGUGGUUUAAUUCGAUGCAACGCGAAGAACCUUACCAGGGUUUGACAUCCUGCGAAUCUCUUGGAAACAGGAGAGUGCCUUCGGGAACGCAGUGACAGGUGGUGCAUGGCUGUCGUCAGCUCGUGUCGUGAGAUGUUGGGUUAAUCCCGCAACGAGCGCAACCCCUACUUUUAGUUGCCACCAUUUAGUUGGGCACUUUAAAAGAACUGCCAGUGAUAAGCUGGAGGAAGGUGGGGAUGACGUCAAGUCCUCAUGGCCCUUAUGUGUUGGGCUACACACGUGCUACAAUGGCACUUACAAUGGGAUGCAAAGAGGUGACUCUAAGCUAAUCCCAAAAAUGUGUCUCAGUUCGGAUUGUACUCUGUAACUCGAGUGCAUGAAGCUGGAAUUGCUAGUAAUCG
rnacentral:rRNA from 1 species